rnacentral:lncRNA from 1 species
UAUCUUGCUGGGCUUUCAAAAGCUUCAGGGAACUCCAAAGUAUUAAACCACUGAAUGUCAUGUGGUCCUGGGUAUUUAGAGCUGCUCUAUUACUUAUCAGCCAUGUGACUUUGAGCAAGUGGUGAAACUUCUCUAAAGCCUUAGCUUCCUCAUCUGUAAAGUCAGGAAGUUAGCACCAAUGUGUAUAAUACUAUUAUGAAAAUUAGGUGAAGUAGGUGUGCAGUGACUGUGAGAGAAGAGAUUUGGAAAGAAUCUCCAGGAAUCUCCACAGUCCUCUAGAACGUGUCUGCCUUUGGUCGGGUGUGCCGUGUAUUGGGAGGAUGUGGAUUAAGAAUCCUGCAAUCCUGGUGUAACUCUGAUACUGGUGAGUUAUCUCCAGCUAGCAUUAAUUAUUCUAUUUUAAAUGUAUAGCUUUGCUUUGCUUUCCUUUCUUUUUCUUUUUCUUCUCUUUCUCCUCUCUUUUUGAUAGU